rnacentral:lncRNA from 1 species
CCGCGUCAUCAUCCGCCAAUCCCCGCACGGCUCCGGAGCAGCUUGCACGGUUCGACUCGGCUCUGAGCCUGAACGCCAGCGCACCCACCAAUUAACAUCGCCGAGCGAUACACCGGCGACCUCCGCUGCCCCUUCCCGGCUUCCCCAGCCCGUCCCCCGUCGCUGUAGCCCAGCGACGGCCUUGCAGCGACCCAGCGGUGGCCCUUCCGCUCUCACGACAAGCACCCUCCCGAAUCGGCGGCACCAUAUGGAGCGGCCGGCCGGCGAUGGCGUCAGAUCCCGGCGGCAGGCAACGGAGAGACCCCGACCGGUCUGCGCAUGGGUUAUGCCGUCCUCACCGAUAGGGUGUCAAGCAGCUCCGGUAAUCUAUCUCCUGUUUAUUUCAUCCGAUUUGGUUUCGCAGCAGGAACCUGAAGUCAGAUUAUUGAUUAGGCUUCAAAUCAGAUGACACUCUGGCCACAUCCGCAGCUUCAAAUCGGAUGACACUCCCGUCCAUGGAGACGCUCCAAUCCACCUGCGGCGAUUUGCCAUCCAUCCCCAAGGCCAGUGGGCAGCCGUUGGCAUCCAUCCACCGUGGGCAUCGUCUAAAGCACUGCCGCCAUGACUUGCGCUAGGCUUCCCCACCAAUCCCAAUCCGUGCAUAGAGAAGAAUGGAUUGUGAGGUGAGCAUUCGUGCAAAUCUGUGUAUCCCAGUUCGUUAUUUUUGUAUGGGCCUUCCAAAUUUCUGAUUAAUCCAUGGAUGAGGAACGGGAGAUUUUUUCUACACUGUCAAUCCAAUUUUUAGUGCUAUUCCGUUGGUUUGAGGUUAGCAGCCACAAAAAUCUGCCUUGUUAAUUCAAAAAGAUAAAACUGGUAUGGUUGUUCUAUUCCUGGCACGGAUUGUUUUGUUGGAUUAUCUUACAAUCCUGUCAUUGUAGUAUGGUACAGAAAUUCGCCUUAUUAAUUCGAAGGACUUUGCGGGCCACAAGGGCAAUGUCCAGGUCAGCCUCUCUGCUCUCUACUCUCUAAUUGUACUCAUGAUCACCGUGCUCACGCAGCAGUUUCAUUUCCUGUCCUGAUAUUGUUCCCUGAACUGAAUUCUUCCUUCAGUGGGCGAGAUGAGUGCAUCAAGAUAAUGCCUCCUCCUGCAGAAUUCGACUGGGCGAGUAGAUGCAAUCAUUUAUUUCAGUGCUUUACUACAUUCCCAAUCGAGCUCAUUCAUCAUGCAAUAGGAACAGUAGGCCAAUUCAUCAUCAUCUGCACAUUUCUGAAAUUUAUACAAGUACGUUUUGCCUAAAAAUUAGUUCAUGCAUCAGAUUAACGCCUAUUUCUGCAAGUUUACACAACUCUACUGUAAGAGUAGAUGCAAUGAUUAAUUCAUUGUUUUACUACCUUUCCAAUAAAGCUGUGUAAUCCUGGAGUAAAUUUAAUAUAGGCGCAGUUCAUCAUCAUACGCACAUAUAUCAAAUUUAUAUAAAAUAUUGUAAAAAUUAUUUUGUAUUAAAACAACU